rnacentral:ncRNA from 1 species
GCAGAGCAGCGGCCCAUGCCCGCUGGUGCUUUUGCCGGUCUGCCCCCGCAGGGCGGGCAGACAUCAUCGGC